rnacentral:rRNA from 1 species
AUUGAACGCUGGCGGCAGGCCUAACACAUGCAAGUCGAACGAGUGGCGGACGGGUGAGUAAUGUCUGGGAAACUGCCUGAUGGAGGGGGAUAACUACUGGAAACGGUAGCUAAUACCGCAUACCAUCAGAUGUGGCGAGAUGGGAUUAGCGUGUUGGGGGGGUAACGGCUCACCAAGGCGAAGAUACCUAGCUGGUCUGAGAGGAUGACCAGCCACACUGGCACUGGUACACUGUCCAGACUCCUACGGGAGGCAGCAUUGGGGAAUAUUGCACCAUGAGCGCACGCCUGCUGCAGCCAUGCCGCGUGUAUGAAGAAGGCCUUCGGGUUGUAAAUUACUUGCAGCGGGGAGGCGUUACCCGCAGAAGAAGCACCGGCUAACUCCGUGCCAGCAGCCGCGGUAAUAC